rnacentral:sRNA from 1 species
GAUGCCAGGGUCAAAAGACCUGAGUACACACGUGCUUGCUCAUAAGUGGAUAAAAGGUCUUGAAACCACCCCGGUAUGAGCACAAAAGCGGGAUGUAUAUCCCACUAUAUGUGAAUAUUGGGGCAGAUUGUAAAAGUGCGCAGCACAAAACGAUCCGCGGGCAUC